UUCAAGUAAAGCUGCACUCUUCCAUUUUAUGGACAUCAUAAAAGACUUUCGGGAGGGGGUGGUGGUGGAGUGGAGGAGAUCCCCCAGUGUUUUAACUAGGACCGGGAUGGAUGUGUUUGGAAAAGCAGACCGGAUGGAUGGACAGCUCUAAUGUAGUAACGCUAACUGAAUCACUCACACUGCACCAGGCUCCCCAGGGGAAGGAAUGUGGGAUGGGAGUGUAAGGCCCCACUUACAAUAUGUUGAGGACAUAAAGGCUAGUGUGAAGUCCAUCACAUCCUGGUGAAUAGCUGCCCUUUGUGCCUCAGAACUUAAUUCACAGCCUGAAAGGACCCCAGCCCUGCCAUAGCACCUCUGUGUGCUGCCUGAUUUAAAAGAGUCUGCAUGUCCACCGAGUGAAAACUUCAAAGACGACAAGAUCUUCUGCAAAAGCACGAAAAACUUCAAGCACGUUUGUUUGUUUUGACCCCGAAGCCCCUUGCUGCAACCCUCUACCUCCAACUUGCAAGUCCUGCAAAAUACAUGAGGAAGAGAGACCAAAUCCAGAGCUGUUUUUUUUUUCUCGCCUGCCUGCAACCGUCAUUCUUCCAUGUGUUACUGUUGUGUAACUUUUGUAGAAAGCAACUCUGGCAUAUGGCACUGAAUCUACUACAAUGACCUCGCAAAACUGAUGACAAAGUACAAAGUACUAAAGUUUCUUGGGAGGCAGAGAAGUAUGAAGUUUUCAAAUACAUUUUAUAUAUUUCACUAAGAAAAUGAAAAUCAAUACCACACAAACGCACACGCACACACACACACACACACACACACAGUGUGAAUACACGCAGACAUUUAUGUUUCCACACUGACUCAUCUAGCUUGGCCUCUGUAGGUGUCUGGGUUGAGGAUUGGAGUUAUGAUUUCUUUUAGGGAAGUACAAAAGGGCCCCAUCUAUCAGUAGGUUGCUGCCUCCAGCCAGGCCCGGAUCUGUCAUAAGAAGGAAAUAGAGACGAUAAAACCUUAUAAAAAAAAUACAACACAGUGCAAACUAUGAAGCUAAAAGUUACCUAAGAUGACUAUAAAGCAAAAUCAAAAGAGACCACUCAAGUUCAUUGUAUUCUCUCAUCAUAUUGCAGAGCAAUUAUGCUUGGAUAACAACAGUAUGGUUGGCUUGAGAUGUAAAUUGACAUGAUUUCUGCUACUGUAUUUGACUGUAACAUAAGGAAUCACAUCACUUAUUAUACCCUGAGCUUUGACUGAGAAAAGUAUUUGUGUUCAAUGCAACAAUGGUGUUUAAAAAACAAAACAAC